CCUACGGGAGGCAGCAGUGAGGAAUCUUGGUCAAUGGACGCGAGCCUGAACCAGCCACGUAGCGUGAAGGAUGAAUGCCCUACGGGUUGUAAACUUCUUUUAUAAAGGAAUAAAGUGAGGCACGUGAGCCUUUUUGUUUGUACUUUAUGAAUUAGGAUCGGCUCACUCCGUGCCAGCAGCCGCGGUACUACGGAGGAUCCGAGCGUUACACGGAUUUAUUGGGUUUAAAGGGAGCGUAGAUGGGGUGUUAAGUCAGUUGUGAAAGUUUGCGGCUCAACCGUAAAAUUGCAAUUGAUAAUGGCAGUCUUGAGUACAGUUGAGGUAGGUGGAAUUCGUUGUGUAGCGGUGGAAUGCGUAGAUAUCACGAAGAACUCCGAUGGCGAAGGCAGCUUACUAAACUGCCACUGACAUUGAGGCUCGAAAGUGUGGGUAGCAAACAGGAUUAGAUACCCUAGUAGUC
rnacentral:rRNA from 1 species